rnacentral:rRNA from 1 species
ACGAACGCUGGCGGCGUGCUUAACACAUGCAAGUCGAGCGGUAAGGCCCUUCGGGGUACACGAGCGGCGAACGGGUGAGUAACACGUGAGCAAUCUGCCCUUCUCUUUGGAAUAACCAUUGGAAACGAUGGCUAAUGCCGAAUAUGACCCCCCUUCGCAUGUUGGGGGGUGGAAAGCUCCGGCGGAGAAGGAUGAGCUCGCGGCCUAUCAGCUUGUUGGUGAGGUAAUGGCUCACCAAGGCAUUGACGGGUAGCCG